AUGACGACCACCGACAGCGGGCCCACGCGUCAGCCAGUGGAAGCGUCCUUUUUUAACAACGCGUGCGGCGGGGUCGGCCUCAUCCACUUCUCCCGUCCACAUCUGCCCCCCCCCCCACCCCCACUCCCUUUGCUUCCUCGCCGGCGACCGCAAACCCUAGCCAUGGGCCUCUUCGGCAACAGCAAUGGCAAGGGCAAGGGCACCCCCGGCGCCUCGUCCUCCCGUGCUCCCCUUCCCCCUCCUCCUCCUCCGGCGGCGACGCGUUUCCGCCCUGGUCGCCGGCGCCUGCACAUCCCGGUGCACCAAGCGCGAUGGCACUGGGAGUACAGGCAGCCAUUGCCGUACCCCGAUGUCACGCUGCCGCACCAUUGGCAUCUGGAUCCGCAGCGGAUCCCGGUGCCGGCGGUUCCUCGUACACAACGGGCGCACGCCGACGAGGUGCGCAGGCGCCACGCGCAGCUCACGCCGGAGCAGCGUCGGCUGCCAGAGUACGCCGCCGACUCCCCCAACUGGGAGGCAUGGUUUGCCCUCGAACACGAGGAGCAACGGCGCUCAGGUGUCGACGCCGUCCCGCCGCCGUUCCCACCGCCGCCCCCGCAGGUAGAGCCGGAGGACAUGGAGGCGGAGGCGGAGUACCAAGCCGCCCUCGAGGAGGCCCUGCAGCACGCGCUGGAGGCUAGCCGCCUCGAGGAGGACGCGCACUGGGAUGGGCUGGAGCAAGCCCUUGCCCUGUCGGCAGCGGGGGACUCUGUCCACACCCCGCUCUUCGUGCCGCCACCGCCACCGUCGUCGUCCGUCCAGCCCAAGCCGGAGCCGGAGCCUGUUUCACCUGUCGCCUCUAUUAUGCCAGCAAUACAGUUAAAUUUCCGAGAAACAAAUUGUCCUGAGAAGAAACAGGACAUUCGUCCUGUGGUGUGUGCGAUCCCGAAGCCGCCACAUCAUCCUGAUAAGCCGGGAUAUGCAAGACCCAAUCACCGAACGACAGCGAAAUCGAUCCCAUCCGUCCGUGGCCGCUCCGCGAAGCCAGGUGUGAUCAUGGAUGGACCACCCCACAUCCUCCACGUGACCCCCGCCUACGUCCAUCUGCUUCCUUCUCAUCUACUACCAGCUCGCCCCCUCAUCCCCGGCUCCAACCAUUUAUUUCGCUCUCGCACCAAGGAGAAAAGCCUCAAAUCUAUCUCCCGUCUGGCAGCCUGCCUGCAGCCUGCUUGUUGA
rnacentral:rRNA from 1 species